rnacentral:misc_RNA from 1 species
AGCUCUGGUGCCCUACGUCCGCGAUUGGAGUAAGGAAGCCCCUUCCUACACACACACACACAACAAAAAACGAAGCGUACAUUUUUGUGUGUCGCCGUCAUCCUCGUUAGCAGCGGGCCAUCUCCCAGCAAGCGACGCAAAAGCGGGCGUUCCUCCCCCUCCCCCCGGCCUACCACACCCACGGGGUAGACACAGCGAUGCGCUGGAGAUGAUCAAGGCAGUUCUCAUCAUCAACACGGCAGGCAAGAUCCGGUUGCUGAGCUUCUACGAGAAGACCAUCUCCCUCGCGCAGCAGCAGGAGCUGGUGCGCAGCAUCCAUCGCGCCAUCGCCCGCCGCGGCGAUGAGCUCUGCAACUUCGUUGACAACUUCAAGGAGUGGCCCACCCCGGACACCCGCGUCAUCUACCGCCGCUACGCAACCUUGUGCUUUGUGUUCGUGACGGACUCAUCGGAAUCGCAGCUGGCCAUCCUCGAUCUUAUUCAGGUCUUCGUCGAGUCCCUCGACCGCACGUUUGAAAACGUGUGCGAGCUAGACCUGAUUUUCCACUCGGAGAAGGUGCAGUACACGCUGAUGGAGAUGAUCAUGGGUGGCAUGGUGCUGGAGAUGUCGCGUGACGAAAUCAUCCACAGCUUGGGAGAGAUGAACCGGCUCAGCGCCAAUACUGUCGCAGAGAACAGCACGUCUCGCACCCUGUCCGGCUACCACUGACGCCUUCAUUGUGGCAUCCUCAGGCAUCCCCUGACACACACGCAGCUGAGGUCUCCCGCACGCUCUCGGAGGACAGGGACGCGUGCGUGCCUACACACACUCACGCACGCCCUCCUUCUUACCUUCCCCUUUCACAGCUGCUCCGUUCAUCGGCAGUGGCGUAGUCGCGUGUGCCUUGGGCGCUUUUU